rnacentral:rRNA from 1 species
CAGCCGCCGCGGGAAUACGAAGGGUGCAAGCGUUAAUCGGAAUUACUGGGCGUAAAGCGUGCGUAGGCGGUGAGUUAAGUCUGCUGUGAAAUCCCCGGGCUCAACCUGGGAAUGGCAGUGGAUACUGGCUCGCUAGAGUGUGUCAGAGGAUGGUGGAAUUCCCGGUGUAGCGGUGAAAUGCGUAGAGAUCGGGAGGAACAUCAGUGGCGAAGGCGGCCAUCUGGGACAACACUGACGCUGAGGCACGAAAGCGUGGGGAGCAAGCAGGAUUAGAUACCCCGGUAGUCCCUGUCUCUUAUAC